rnacentral:lncRNA from 1 species
CGUGCGAUAGAAAGCGGAAAAAUGAAUUGAUUGACUAUUGAGUGCAAGCCCGUAAAUAGACGACCAUGGGUAGUUCAGGUGCACUUAAAGUCAACUACAACUAGAAGGCAUGCCGAUCUUGCCACCAACAAACCUUUGACUUUGACUGUGAAAAGCUCCAAAUAGGCACAUAGUAGUUUAGAGUAGAAGGAGUGAAAGCCACUUGACUAUAAGGAAAGGAGCUCUAAGUUGGAAUUCAAUAGUGACAGAAAUGGUCAUCUGUGCUCCACAGCUACUGGUGUCAUCACCCUGCAAAGAGGUGGAACCAACCAAGACUGAACACUAGCCCCAUUUUGUAGACGGGUUGGGACCGGCCUUCUAUCCCGGUGAACAAUGUUCCACUGAUUAGGCGGGGACAGGAUUCGAACCUGCAAUCUUCAGGUCAUGAGCCUGAUGAGUUGACCAAUUCCUCUACCCCGCUUCUUCCCCUUCUCUUNGGGUUGGGACCGGCCUUUUAUCCCGGUAAAUAAUGUUCCACUGAUUAGGCGGGGACAGGAUUCGAACCUGCAAUCUUCAGGUCAUGAGCCUGAUGAGUUGACCAAUUCCUCUACCCUGCUUCUUCCCCUUCUCUUUCGAACUCCGAAAACCAAGGUUCGACUUGCAUGUGUUAAGCAUAUAGUCUGAGUAGCAUGAUGUUCACUUCUUAGCGCUUAGGCCACUACCUAAAAGUCAGCUUUUCGCUCUUUUCCUCUUACAUAACAACGAUGGAGGAGAUAGUAAGCACGACUUUCUACGCAAC